rfam:Rhodotorula graminis WP1 unplaced genomic scaffold RHOBAscaffold_7, whole genome shotgun sequence.
GGCUCUUUAGCUCAGCUGGGAGAGCGACAGACUGAAGUACCGUUUACUCGGCGCACAAUUCUGCAGGUCUCCGGUUCAAUCCCGGAAAGGGCCA